CCUACGGGAGACUGCAGUGAGGAAUAUUGGUCAAUGGGCGGGAGCCUGAACCAGCCAAGCCGCGUGAGGGAAGAAGGUACAGCGUAUCGUAAACCUCUUUUGUCAGGGAACAAAGGCGGGGACUAGUCCCCGGAUGAGGGUACCUGAAGAAAAAGCAUCGGCUAACUCCGUGCCAGCAGCCGCGGUAAUACGGGGGAUGCGAGCGUUAUCCGGAUUGAUUGGGUUUAAAGGGUGCGCAGGCGGCCUGUUAAGUCAGCGGUAAAAGCCCGGGGCUCAACCCCGGCGAGCCGUUGAAACUGGCGGGCUGGAGUUGGAGAGAAGUACGCGGAAUGCGCGGUGUAGCGGUGAAAUGCUUAGAUAUCGCGCAGAACCCCGAUUGCGAAGGUAGCGUACCGGCUCCACACUGACGCUGAGGCACGAAAGCGUGGGUAUCGAACAGGAUUAGAUACCCCAGUAGUC
rnacentral:rRNA from 1 species